rnacentral:lncRNA from 1 species
CUCUUUGCAGCUCCCUGGCUGAGCUGAGAGACUUGAGUCCAGCAGUGUUCUUCUUUGGCUUGAGCUACUUCUUCCUGAUGUUCCUGCAGGCACGUGUUCCUCAUUCAUGGGAGCAAAAGGAGCUUUGGCCAUUCCAUUGGCCUUUGCAGGGUCAUUGUCCUGCUUCCCUGAUGAAUUCAGGAAAGAACCUGAGUGAGCACUCCAGGCCUGAGAAUACGGAACAGCUCAGCCUCGCUGCUCAGAUGUGCUUCGAGCUGGAAAAUACACAUCAGCCCAGAGACAACAUCCACUUAGAAGUUUUUUGGCAGGCUUCACCCGGAGUUAUUGUUUUGGUACAGCAGUGA